GUCUUAAAUGUAAUGCUGUGAAUGUAAAACUGCAGGCAGUGUAUGCUUCAGGAGUAACGUUAAUUCAGAAAUGAAUGAAAUGUUGGGGGUUUCUUGUUUGGACCAGCGUCUCCUCUAUUCAUCGUUGCUCAGAAGUAUGUAAGGUCAAAUAGUUUUGAAAUAUUUUAGGUUAUCGGGUUGUCUGCAAUGCAGGGGAUACAAAACAAUGGCAUGCUGCUCCCUUGAACCGGACACUUCCUGUCAACCCGGCUUUUGCGUAUUACGUCAUAGCCGAUUACGUUUCACGCUGUUGCAUUUAGACCAAUAUUUGGAGUGCACAUAUAUUACAUGCUUUGUUACUUAAAUUCUUUAUAUAAUAUAUUGAUAUAUUUAAUAGAAUGUGUCUUACAUGUUUCCUAAAUAUUAAAUGCGUCAAUUUUGAUGCCCAAAUCUCCCUGGGUAGGCUAUCUUCAACAGUUUAAGUAAAAAUGUGAUAACUUGGUAUUGGCCCCAAAUGUCAUCAAGAAAGAAAUUGAAAUGCCAGUAAAAAAAACAAUGAAAGUUUGUUAUACUGUUAUAUACUAUCACUUUAUAUACAUGGAUUAUUAUUUAACUGUUCAUAUUUUAUUAGUUUAUUUUAUUGCCUAAGUAAUAAUCCCUGUACUGCCUUCAAUGUGGGCAAUUUUAGACGCAUGGCAACACGUCUUGACUGGGGGUGCUCUGCAUUUCUUCUCUUAUCAGUGUGGACCUGACAACCGAAGACAACCAAACUGUGUCUUUUAUGUUAAUGAACCAUUCAGGAGCUAGUUAUAUUGAAGCAUCAGAGUGUCACCACAGUACAGUGUAGUGUGUGAUUUAUCUAGUGACAAGAGAUUGCUGGAAUGAUCCUUUUAACAGCAGUGACACCCAGUACAACUGCCCACCCCAAACAAACAUGUGCUUAGGCGUGCAAUGGUAUUAAUAUUGAAUUUUGACAAUGUACCGGUUCCAUAAAGAAUAGAUAAGCCUAGACACAAAGGUGAAUGAGUCAUCAUUACAACCUAUUGCCACAUCUUUUUUCACAAAGUGCUUCCUAAUGUAUGCAAUAGGAACAGCCUUCAUUGUCUCCAGGGUGUGUGAGUAUCAGCUUGAUGUGCGGGUGUGGGGGUCUAUGACUCCACCAGUUAGUAUCAUGUACGAGUAUAUGAUGGUGUUUUCAAGAUGGUGUAUCAGUUUUAAAAUCCACAUUGUUUCUCUCAGCAGCAAAAUACUGAAGCCCUUAGAAUGAUUCAAACUGAAAGAGGAAGAGGAAGAGAGAUAGACAACUUAAAGUCUUACACCCACAGCCCAUUGUGACAAUUCUGAGAGGAAGUCGCAGGAGCCUGUAUCAGAAAAGAAAUAUAAAGUAAGCCAAGCUUCAUUUAGGCCACUCUUGGAAAUUAAGUCUAGAGCAUGAACUGUGUGGUAAGCUUGUAAAGGGUGAUUGUUCAGUCAUUUAUUAGUUUAAGCAGCUGUUUUGACAUAUGGGCAUGUUUAUUUAUGUUUAUACAUAUACGUAUCAACCAGAAAUUAAACAUUUUCUUCCAUAAAGCUAUACACAGUGUUCAAACAUGUUAUGUUGCCCAAUAUAAAGGAAAUUAAAUGACCUUUGUGUUGUGUCUUGUUUACAGAGAAACUAUGUUCAGGGCCCCUUUAAGAGAUAUUCAGCCAAUUUCCUUAUAAGGCAAUCUCUGGAUGUGUCACAUGGUAUUGUACUUUGGAACGCCAAGGCAAAGUCACAUGACUCUUUAAAGCGGAAAUUAGAAAGAGUGAUUGAGAAUCUGCUUUUCUUUCUCCUUUCAUUGUAUUUAUUCAGUAGGAUUCUAAUUCCUUUCAAAGCAUUAUUGUCUCUUUACUGUAUAUAACAUAGGAGACUAGAAAUACACAAUAAGAUUACAUACAAAAACACUAUAAAUGGCCUACUGACUGUCUCCACCUAUCAGACCUAAAGUACCCUAUAUGGAAACAUUGACAGGUAACACACGCUCAUGCAAAGAUCUGAUGAGAUCUACUGGUGGAUGCUGCUCAAGCAAUGGGAACAGGUACAGACCUUUGCGAUGUGUUUUCCGUGUAUGGCAAUGGGUCAGUCCUGCUUAAUCCUAAGAGCAGUUCAAAGCUCAGUGCUUUGCAUUUAGUUGAGAUAUGUGAUAGAAGCCAACAUUAUAUUGCCUAAUUAGGCUACUACUGUAACAACAAGGGGCAAACUACAAAGAGCUGAAUUUCAACACGCACAAUAUAAUCUGCAGAGAGAUCUGUUGAGUCUGAGUACCACUUAUAGAUCAUGCAAGAUUUUAUGCAAGGAUAUGUAAUACUUUCAUGACAGAAUGGGUUUGGUUUCAAGGUUUCAAGAUACCUUGAUGUAAUGAUAAAAUCUCCAUAUUCAUCGGGAAGAAGGAGGCGGGAACCGGCGCACAAUCAAAAUGAAACUUUAAUAAUCACAAAAUAAACAAAACGCAUCAGCCCCUCACGGAUGACUGAUGCGCACAAAUAAAAAGCAAAACAUAAUCUAAUGCCCAGGCCUGGUCCUCUCUCGUCCUUCACUAUCGUCGCUCCAGUUUUAUAUCCUUCCAUCUCCUACGUGGGACUCGAGACCGGCGGUGGGGCGCAGGUGUCGCUGAUUUCCCAAUCAUUCCGCCAGCCUCACUCCUUGUUCCCACGUCCCUCGGCCCCGCCCCACUCGCCACACUUGACUUUUUGGAAUACCUGCUUUAUCAUGGGAAUAAAUCCCCAACAGACAAAAUGAGAAAGGAGCAGUCCAGAUGUUGCCAUGUUUUUGACUGAUUCGGAGAUACAAAAUAUGUUGUUUGAGCUGAUUGGCCAACAAAAGAGUCUUAACUUCAAAGUGAGAAGAAUGCCACAUUGUACAUCAACAUUUCAGAAUAUAUAUUCUACUUAUUUUUGAGUUAACUGGGCAGAAAGAAAAAACUAAAUCUAGCUUGCAGCAUUAGGAUGCUAUUUUCACAUAAUGGUUUCAUUAGUUGGGUUUGACAGAUUAACCUCAUUAAAUCCAGAGAUUUGCACAUUGUGCAAAAUUAUGCUACUUCAUAGCACACAGUGAUUAUGGGUGUAUCUCCAUCAUGCUGAUUUUGAACUGACAGAACUGACUGGAAGCCUGGAAGCAGGUCAACAAUGUGUAACCCUGGGCCACAUCAGAGUUCAGUCAUUAAGACCGUAAAUGAAGCUUGUUUAAUUAGCUUCUUAUAUGAACGUAACCUAAACAUAACCGUUUUUAGUCUAUGUUUGCAAAUUUUGUAAAUAGAAUUGGAAAUCUGAAAUCAACUACAUCUACAUUUGUCUGUGUAAAAAAUAACUGAUGUGAAUAAUAAAUUAUCCCUGAUGCAAUCAAUAAUUAUACCUCUUGAUGUGUGCAUUUGCAAAAAAGAAAUGGAGAGAAUAUAAGUGAGAGAUUUAAUUUCCAUCAAACAGUCAGCAGAACAUACAGGACAAAAUCAAUAUCCUGUCCUUUACAAGAGGAAGAGGAAAGCUGCUGUUUGCCCUGAAAAUAACCUAAGCAAGUUCCUGCUUCCUUCAACAUUUCCUUAUAUAUAACUGUUUUACUUGAACUUUUUUGAUGCUAUAACAUAUAUAUAUGAUUUAUAUUUAGAUGGAAGAUUUACAUGUAGGAUUCACAGUUAUGUUUAGGAUUUGGAUUUAACAUUUACACUUAACAUUUAAAUUUAGAUUUAACCUUAAAAUAUAACAUUCAGAAUUGAAUAUUUAACAUUUAGAUUUAAAUAGAAGAUUUCGAUAGAUUUGAAAUUGAAGAUUUAGAUAAAAAACUUAGAUUUAGCUUUGGUAUUUUAUUUUUAUAUAGUAAUAAAAAUAUGUGAACAUUUAUUUAGGUAAAUCUUGAAAAAUGUAUUUGUUUUGGUUAAAAUCGGACCGAAGUUUACCAGUUUUUCUUACACAUCUUAUUUUACCAAAGGCGCACCAUAGUUCAAAUGCUGCGAUUAGUUUUUACACCAGAGUCACACCCCUAUUCUUUCUGAGAAAGACCUAUAGGGUUUACUGACAGCAGAGAGUUACAACUUUGGUUUAACAUCACAUUUGAACAAUGGUGCCUUUUAAAUAUUGUCACUUUAGUAGGGCAUUACAUAGAGCACAU